AUUGAACGCUGGCGGCAUGCUUUACACAUGCAAGUCGAACGGCAGCACGGGCUUCGGCCUGGUGGCGAGUGGCGAACGGGUGAGUAAUGCAUCGGAACGUGCCCAUGUCGUGGGGGAUAACGUAUCGAAAGGUACGCUAAUACCGCAUACGCCCUGAGGGGGAAAGCGGGGGAUUCUUCGGAACUUCGCGCGGUUGGAGCGGCCGAUGUCGGAUUAGUUAGUUGGUGGGGGAAAGGCUCACCAAGGCGGCGAUCCGUAGCGGGUCUGAGAGGAUGAUCCGGCACAUGGGGACUGAGACACGGCCCCGACUCCUGCGGGAGGAAGCGGGGGAGAAUUUUGGGCGAUGGGCGCAAGACUGAUCCAUCCAUGCGGGGGGAGUGAAGAAGGCCUUCGGGUUGUAAAGCUCUUUCGGCCGGGAAGAAAUCGCACUCUCUAACAUAGGGUGUGGAUGACGGUACCGGACUAAGAAGCACCGGCUAACUACGUGCCAGCCGCCGCCGUAAAAC
rnacentral:rRNA from 1 species